rnacentral:rRNA from 1 species
AAUGAACGCUGGCGGCAGGCCUAACACAUGCAAGUCGAACGGAUCCUUCGGGAUUAGUGGCGGACGAGUGAGUAACGCGUGGGAACAUACCCUUUGGUACGGAAUAGCCUCGGGAAACUGGGAGUAAUACCGUAUGUGGUCGAGAGACGAAAGAUUUAUCGCCAAAGGAUUGGCCCGCGUUGGAUUAGGUAGUUGGUGGGGUAAUGGCCGACAAAGCCGACGAUCCAUAGCGGGUUUGAGAGGAUGAUCAGCCACACUGGGACUGAGACACGGACCGGACUCCUACGUGAGGCAGCAGUGGGGAAUCUUAGACAAUGGGGGAAACCCUGAUCUAGCCAUGCCGCGUGAUCGAUGAAGGCCUUAGGGUUGUAAAGAUCUUUCAGGUGGGAAGAUAAUGACUGUACCCCCAGAAGAAGCCCCGGCUAACUCCGUGCCAGCAGCCGCAGUAA